UCAGGACGAACGCUGGCGGCGUGCCUAAUCCAUGCAAGUCGAGCGGACCGACGGGAGCUUGCUCCCUUAGGUCAGCGGCGGACGGGUGAGUAACACGUGGGUAACCUCCCUGUAAGACUGGGAUAAUUCCGGGAAACCGGGGUUAAUACCGGAUGCUUGAUUGAACCCCAUGGUUCAAUCAUAAAAGGUGGCUUUUAGCUACCACUUACAGAUGGACCCGCGGCGCAUUAGCUAGUUGGUGAGGUAACGGCUCACCAAGGCGACGAUGCGUAGCCGACCUGAGAGGGUGAUCGGCCACACUGGGACUGAGACACGGCCCAGACUCCUACGGGAGGCAGCAGUAGGGAAUCUUCCGCAAUGGACGAAAGUCUGACGGAGCAACGCCGCGUGAGUGAUGAAGGUUUUCGGAUCGUAAAACUCUGUUGUUAGGGAAGAACAAGUACCGUUCGAAUAGGGCGGCACCUUGACGGUACCUAACCAGAAAGCCACGGCUAACUACGUGCCAGCAGCCGCGGUAAUACGUAGGUGGCAAGCGUUGUCCGGAAUUAUUGGGCGUAAAGCGCGCGCAGGCGGUUUCUUAAGUCUGAUGUGAAAGCCCCCGGCUCAACCGGGGAGGGUCAUUGGAAACUGGGGAACUUGAGUGCAGAAGAGGAGAGUGGAAUUCCACGUGUAGCGGUGAAAUGCGUAGAGAUGUGGAGGAACACCAGUGGCGAAGGCGACUCUCUGGUCUGUAACUGACGCUGAGGCGCGAAAGCGUGGGGAGCGAACAGGAUUAGAUACCCUGGUAGUCCACGCCGUAAACGAUGAGUGCUAAGUGUUAGAGGGUUUCCGCCCUUUAGUGCUGCAGCAAACGCAUUAAGCACUCCGCCUGGGGAGUACGGUCGCAAGACUGAAACUCAAAGGAAUUGACGGGGGCCCGCACAAGCGGUGGAGCAUGUGGUUUAAUUCGAAGCAACGCGAAGAACCUUACCAGGUCUUGACAUCCUCUGACAACCCUAGAGAUAGGGCUUCCCCUUCGGGGGCAGAGUGACAGGUGGUGCAUGGGUUGUCGUCAGCUCGUGUCGUGAGAUGUUGGGUUUAAGUCCCGCAACGAGCGCAACCCCUUGAUCUUAGUUGCCAGCAUUCAGUUGGGCACUCU
rnacentral:rRNA from 1 species